GUUUAUCUAUUUUAAGACAAGGUAACCAGUUAAUAAUAGUUAUUUAGUAUUUUGUGCAAAUUUUUAAUAAAUACAACUAACUUGAAAAUUUUCAAACAAAAUGCACAAUGACACAAUUAUUAUCACAUGGCUACACAACUCCACAAAUUCAGUUAGUGGUUUUAUGAGGUUUCUUGCAACAAAACUUCUGAUUUAAGAGUGUUGUAGAGGAUAUUGUAAUGUUCUGACAAAGUAUUUAAGAAUAGAUGAGCCUUCGAAAACUUUAAUUUCUCUAUCUCUAUUGUAUUUCAUAACAUAAUUUAAUAAUUAUUGUUUAUUUUUUUACUUAAUUAUAUUAUAAUAUUAUUAUUAUUAGAUGGUAAUAGUUAAUCUCUAAAAUGAUUAUGAAUAAAAAAAAUUUGAACUUAUGCCACUAUUACAUAAAAACAAAUUAUGUUUUACUUGUUUAGAAAGAAACAAAAAUUUACAAAAACGAAAAUAUCCAUAAUUUCUCAGUAUAAAGUACCUGUGGCUGGGUAGUGCCAUGUGAGACUUGAAAGCGAAAUAGUGUACAGUGUCCUUAUGACAGGCUUUUAAAAGUUUUGCUGAAUUAGCUUCCGAAGGUCCACUUUAAACCUGUUCACACUAAGAGUUCUAGUCUCUCUUGGCAGCUGAUUGUAGUACCUUAGUCCUUGAAAUGCAAUUGACCUUUGGCCCAUUGUAGUUCUAGCUGUUGUGGUUCGUAGAUGGUCUGCUGAUCUGACACUGUUAUGGUGAAUAUCCCUAAUAACAUUAAAGGAGUUUACCUCCCUCCCUUGACAUCUGUGUAUGAAGUUGGUUGCUUGCUGUAUAUAUACAGUUUUACAUUUAAAAUUCCGUUGCCUAAUGUAGGGUGAAUAUGAGGCAAACCAAAGACUCAUGUGAUAGCUUUGUUUUGCAGAACAUUCAAUGGAUGAAGAUGUGUUGCAACAGCAUUCCCCCACAAUAGUGUCAUGUAUAAGACGUGGGAAUGGAUAAAUGAAUAGUAUAAUUUUAGAAUUCUGGAGCUGGAUGUUGGAAAUUAUAGGGGAAGCAUUGGACCUGGAAGAGUAUCAGUAGAAGAUAUAGGCUGUGGCGAGUCGAGGCUGCUGUUAUUCGAACAGGGACGUUUUUCACUAGUUUUUGAAAAAGAAAUUAGAGGAAAAAAACGAGAAGGUGUGUUCUCCGAGGAUACUACGGGUAUAACUGAAGUAUUAGUAGUGGUAAGGUUAGCACAAAAGAGAUUUAAGGAAUCAUUUGAUUUAAGAGAAGGAUUUUUUGUGGGAUGGAAGUGUUGGGGCAUGAAUCAGUAAUGUGCCCAGCCUGUUUGCAGAAAAAGCAUUCGAGUUUGUGGGUAGAAAUGAAUAUUCUAUGUGUAGUAUUGUAGGUAAUAUGCAAGUUACACGGCGGAAGCUGGGGACAUGUGCAUAUUCAUUAUCAGGUUAGCCACAUUUGACGUAGAUAUAAAGAGAGGAAAGUGAUAACCCUAAGUCAUGCAAUGCUUUCUCAAUGACGGAAUGGGGAAUGGAUGGACAAACAUUGAAAAUAAGUACUCUUUUGGUUGGAGAUAUAAACCGACGUAUAGGGAUUAUAUUGGAAUUAACUAGGAUCUUUUGGUUGGUUUUCAGAAGGUGGUCGAGAUAAAUAAAUAUAUAUUCUGGAUACGAAAAUAUAUAAUAUAGUCAAAUAGUACUGUGAUAUCUCAACCAUUCUCAAUUACUCUGGUUCCUUUCCAUCAUUCUUUCGUUUAGAAACUCUAUUUGCUUCCUAUUGCCCACGAAUGCUGAAUUUAAAGGUUUGUAUGUAUUUAUUGAUGAGGCGUUAAACACAUCAAACAAUGUAUUAAACUUUUUAAUAAUAUAUGCAGUACCAAUUGUUUCCGACAGUAGUGCACCCAGGCUCACUAAUGUAUUUAGACCUGCUGCUACUGUAGCACUCAACACUUGUGUAGCUAAUUUGACCUUCAUUUUCUCAAAAUUGCUUGGCAAAUGUGUGAAUUGGUUAAUUUUGGGGCUAGUCUGAAAUGUAAUUUUUUAUCUACAUUGAAGAAAUCUUCAAUAUAUUUCCACGAGGCUGUUUUCUCCUUGAAUGUAAAUGUAUGUGCCAUUAAGUUGUUUCUUACAGCUUUUAUUAGAUGUGGUGGGUCAAAAACAUACCAAACUUUAAUCUCCUUUACCUUAAAGAAAGGAUAUCUCUCCAUCACAUUUGCCAUUUGUAUAAAAUUUCUUCCCAGAUCAGAAACCAAUAUUUGUUUUACUUUUUCCAUAAUCUUCUAACCCAAUAAUUUCAUCUUUAGAAAACAUUUCACCAAUGUAUAAAAUACAAUAUCUGUCUAAUUCAUUCAAUGCCUCAAUUUUGGGUUUUAUACUCUCGAAUAACUUUUCAUUUAAACCAGCAUUCACAGGCAUGUUUUAUGCCUGCAUUUUCACAAACUUAGCAGAUGCUGGUGGUAGUAAUUUUUUUAAUGAACACUUAAAUUGUGUUAACAUUUGUUUGCGUGAUAAUUUACCCCUUUCUUGGGUAUUACAACUUAGAUAUUCUUCUGUUUGAAUAUCCUGCUGUAAUGAAGGUCGUAGGAAUGUUUCCAUAACUGGAUCUGCUGUUGAUGUCAAUGGCCUGGGCUCACAAUCUAAAAAACUGUAGUAAUAGUAUCAUUUUUAAUAGACAUUAGACAAAUAUUACCACGUCCAGAUAAACCAGUACUUUUUAUCUGGAUAGAAGAAUCUAAUUUUCUUCUUUUUGGGUCCCUUAUUUCCUUUGCUUCAGGAACAGCAUGUGGUUGUAGACGAUUUAGAUUUUUAUUAGUUUUUAACCAGGUAAGUUAAUUUAACAUAUUAAUUCUGCUUUAAAACUUGUUGAGGUUAUGUCUAUAUUAUUUUUGUAGUACCUUUUUGUUUUUUUACAGAUCCUUUUGUUAAGAAAAUAAUGGCUUUUAAACAUGUCCUAAAACUUUCCAGCAUUAGUGCUUUUAUAGAUGACACAACAAAAUUAUAAAAAGGGCUGAAAACGCCUUAGCGUCCAGUCAUGUGAAGAAAAUGGACUUUGACUCUGAUUUGCAGAGGGGAAGUAUUUGCUAGUAUGAAAGACUACAAGGUAUCUAUAGAUAGUGUUGGUUACGCCAUUUGUGAGAAUCUAAUGACACCUUGGCUUUGUCAGAGACUAAGCAUUCCAACUUUGCAACGCAACCUGAAGAGGAAAAUUGAAGAUAUUUUAGGGGAAGAAGUCAAAGACAGUCAAAAACGGAAAACCUGCGCUUUUUGCUCUUAAAAAAACGCAGAAUGACAGUUUCGGUGUUAAGUGCGUAAAAAAUACAUGUGCCUGGAACAUCAGGCAGAAGUAUGUACAAAUUGUAUUUAAAAAUAUUAUGUUUAUUCGUUUCACAUUAUUUUAAUUAUAUCUGGCUGUGUAAAUAAAAAAUUCAUGGAAAUAUGACAAUUUCAUUUAUUUUAUAAUAAAUACCUGGAGUAAUCUGUCGGACUAAAGCUUAUGAAUUGUGCUAGUAUUUCCAAACAUAAUGAAGCUAGGGUUAAAUAAAGUGUUAUUAUGUUAGUAUAGUACAUUUUCAUUUUAUUUAAGCCUCUUUGCAAAUAAUCCUAUAUUUGUCUCAAGAGGCAAAAACAAGUUUAUUUCACCACAUUUUUUAUAAUGACCAUCAAAAUUAGGAGAAUUAGAAUUUUUCAUUUACAAAUGUAAGAGGUUAAUAAGCACAUACCAAUAAGCUCUCUGAACGUUUCUUGUGUCAUUGGACUGUUCUACAAAAUUUUCAAUUUUUGUAAUUGUACGAGAUUCCUCUUCAUCUGAAGAUGAAGAAGUGGACCAGUCAGCCAUAGUAUCAAUG